rnacentral:tRNA from 1 species
AUGUAGUUCAGUUGUGGAAUGCUUACCUGGCAUGCAGGAGGCCCUGGGUUCAAUCCCCAGUAU